rnacentral:rRNA from 1 species
GAUGAACGCUGGCGGCGUGCCUAAUACAUGCAAGUCGAGCGAACAGACGAGGCGCUUGCUCCUCUGACGUUAGCGGCGGACGGGUGAGUAACACGUGGAUCACCUCCCUAUCAGACUGGGAUCACUUCGGGACACCGGCGCUAAUACCGGAUAAUCUAUUGAACCGCAUGGUUCAAUAGUGAAAGACGGUUUUUCUGUCACUUCUAGAUGGAUCCGCGCCGCAUUAGCUAGUUGGUAAGGUAACGGCUUUCCACGGCAACGAUGCGUAGCCGACCUGAGAGGGGGGUCGGCGGCCUGGGAGCGGGAACGGGGUCCAGACGCCUGAGGGAGGCAGCAGAAGGGAAUCGGCGGCAAUGGGGGAAAACCUGGCGGAGCAAGGCGGAGUGAGAGGUGAAGGUGUUGGGAGCGUAAAGCUCGGUUAUUAGGGAAGAACAAAUGUGUAAGGAACUAUGGACGGCGUGACGGUACCGAGUCAGAAAGCCACGGCUAACUACGUG